UAGGGAAUAUUGCACAAUGGGGGAAACCCUGAUGCAGCGACGCCGCGUGAGUGAUGAAGGCCUUCGGGUCGUAAAGCUCUGUCGUAUGGGACUAACACAAUGAAGGUACCAUGCAAGAAAGGAUCGGCUAACUUCGUGCCAGCAGCCGCGGUAAGACGAGGGAUCCUAGCGUUGUUCGGAAUUAUUGGGCGUAAAGCGGGUGUAGGCGGAUUUAUAAGUCAGGUGUGAAAUCCCAGGGCUCAACCCUGGAAGUGCACUUGAUACUGUAGAUCUUGAGUGUGGUAGAGGUUACUGGAAUUCCUGGUGUAGUGGUAAAAUACGUAGAUAUCAGGAGGAAUACCGGAGGCGAAGGCGAGUAACUGGGCCAACACUGACGCUGAGACCCGAAAGCGUGGGGAUCAAACAGGAUUAGAUACCCCAGUAGUCCCUGAGCGGGCUGGCAAGGCGCAU
rnacentral:rRNA from 1 species